UACGAAGGGGGCUAGCGUUGCUCGGAAUCACUGGGCGUAAAGCGCACGUAGGCGGCUUUUUAAGUCAGAGGUGAAAUCCUGGAGCUCAACUCCAGAACUGCCUUUGAUACUGGAGAGCUUGAGUCCGGGAGAGGUGAGUGGAACUGCGAGUGUAGAGGUGAAAUUCGUAGAUAUUCGCAAGAACACCAGUGGCGAAGGCGGCUCACUGGCCCGAUACUGACGCUGAGGCACGAAAGCGUGGGGAGCAAACAGG
rnacentral:rRNA from 1 species